rnacentral:lncRNA from 1 species
UAUCUAUACAUAUAAUAAAUCUGUAGAAAAGUAAUUUUUGUACAUUGAAGAAAUUGACAAAAAAAAAAUAGCCAGCAUGUUAAAGGAUAACUAACAGAACCCAUUUCCAUCAUUUUUGUCAUUUUUGUCUGUUUGUCUGUUUAUCUGUUUGUUUGUUCGGGAUUCACGUGAAAUCUACGAAUUCAAUGCAGACAAUGUUUAUAUACAAAAAUUCUACGUAACUUGGGGUAUUACUUAGUUUUUGUUUUAUCGAAAUCGAUUCACUCUAUCAAAAGAUAUGAUUAAUUUUGUGAAUUCAAGAUGUAAAAUAUUACGACACGCAAUCUGUUUGUCAAAACUGUACAUUUGAAUGUUGUACUUAUAUUAGUUGAUCGGCCUAUUAUUAACCUUUACACAGAAAAUCACACCUUCAUAAGUAAAUUCGGAAGAAAAAGAAAUAUGAAAAUUUUGUUUAGCCAAGGUUAAAGUAGCUCCAUCUGUGGUAAUCUGUGUUAAAUAAAAUACAUAAAAUUUGUCAAAGGAGCGAGGUGGUAAAUGACAAUAAAUUACCAUACAUUCUUUA